CGGACUCACUAUAGGGCGAAUUGGGCCCGACGUCGCAUGCUCCCGGCCGCCAUGGCCGCGGGAUUCUGCUUUUGUACGGAACGAAAAAGCUCCUUUAAUACAGGGGGCCCAUGACGGUACCGUAAGAAUAAGCACCGGCUAACUACGUGCCAGCAGCCGCGGUAAUACGUAGGGUGCGAGCGUUAAUCGGAAUUACUGGGCGUAAAGCGUGCGCAGGCGGUUAUGUAAGACAGAUGUGAAAUCCCCGGGCUCAACCUGGGAACUGCAUUUGUGACUGCAUGGCUAGAGUACGGUAGAGGGGGAUGGAAUUCCGCGUGUAGCAGUGAAAUGCGUAGAUAUGCGGAGGAACACCGAUGGCGAAGGCAAUCCCCUGGACCUGUACUGACGCUCAUGCACGAAAGCGUGGGGAGCAAACAGGAUUAGAUACCCUGGUAGUCCACGCCCUAAACGAUGUCAACUGGUUGUUGGGAAUUAGUUUUCUCAGUAACGAAGCUAACGCGUGAAGUUGACCGCCUGGGGAGUACGGCCGCAAGGUUGAAACUCAAAUGAAUUGACGGGG
rnacentral:rRNA from 1 species